UCUGUUCUGAUUGUGUUUUUUAUGUUUUAGUUAGUGUUUGUGCCAAGUAAAGCCUUUAGGAUCUUCUUGGGUGAUUGUUGUUUGAUCUUGCUGAUAAAAACAGAAAGUAUGCGCUCACGAAAAUAAUUAAAAUUUUAUAACAGAGAGCGCUAAAAUACCAAUUCCAACUGCAGUAGAUCAAUAUACUUUUUAUCCUGGUCGUCCUAAUUUUUCAGAAUUUUUGGAGUUACCGAAGUAUUCGAAACAUCCAGAUUGCUACAGACUGUUCUGUUUUUGACAGAUUCUGUUUUUCGUGUGUUGUUUGCUUAUUUUGAUGAAUAUAUGGCUAGUAUCGGGGGGUAUGAACCAUAGAGAAGUUGGAAUAUAGUAAGUUUAACACCAAUAUAAAUAAAUAAUGAGUUCAUUACAGUACCUUAAAGUGCUGGUUUAUUUUCUUAUACUAACGGAGCUCAUGAGAUUUUUUGUUGAAGUUUUGUGUUGUGAAGUUUUCAAGUUUUUGGGUAAAGAUUUGAUUAAUUUUGGAAUAAGGAUGGCAAGAGCCUAAGCUUGGGGAUGCCCGAGGCACCCCAAGGUAAAAUUCAAGGACAACCAAAAGCCUAAGCUUGGGGAUGCCCCGGAAGGCAUCCCCUCUUUCGUCUUCGUCUAUCGGUAACUUUACUUGAGGCUAUAUUUUUAUUCACCACAUGAUAUGUGUUUUGCUUGGAGCAUCCUAUAUGAUUUGAGUCUUUGAUUUUUAGUUUACCACAAUCAUCCUUGCUGUACACACCUUUUGGGAGAGACACCAAUUAAUCGGAAUUUAUUAGAAUACUCUAUGUGCUUCACUUAUAUCUUUUGAGCUAGAUAAUUUUGCUCUAGUGCUUCACUUAUAUAUUUUUAGAGCAUGGUGGUGGUUUUAUUUUAUAGAAAUUAUUGAUCUAUCAUGCUUCACUUAUAUUAUUUUGAGAGUCUCUUAGAACAGCAUGGUAAUUUUCUUUGGCUAUAAAAUUAGUCCUAAUAUGAUGGGCAUCCAAGAUAGGUAUAAUAAAAACUUUCAUAUAAAGCGCAUUGAAUACUAUGAGAAGUUUGAUUCUUUAUGAUUGUUUUGAGAUAUGAAGAUGGUGAUAUUAGAGUCAUGCUAGUUGAUUAGUUGUGGAUUUGAGAGAUACUUGUGUUAAAGUUUGUGAUUCCCGUAGCAUGCACGUAUGGUGAGCCGUUAUGUGAUGAAGUCGGAGCAUGAUUUAUUUUUUGAUUGUCUUCCUUAUGAGUGGCGGUCGGGGACGAGCGAUGGUCUUUUCCUACCAAUCUAUCCCCCUAGGUGCAUGCGUGUAGUACUUUGUUUCAAUAACUAAUAGACUUUUACAAUAAGUAUGUGAGUUCUUUAUGACUAAUGUUGAGUCCAUGGAUUAUACGCACUCUCACCCUUCCACCAUUGCUAGCCUCUCUAGUACCACGCAACUUUCGCCGGUACCAUAAACCCACCAUUACCUUCCUCAAAACAGCCACCAUACAACCUAUUAUGGCAUUUCCAUAGCCAUUCCGAGAUAUAUUGCCAUGCAACUUUCCACCGUUCCGUUUAUUAUGACACGACUCAUCAUUGUGAUAUUGCUUUGCAUGAUCAUGUAGUUGACAUCGUAUUUGUGGCAAAGCCACCUACAUAAUUCUUUCAUACAUGUCACUCUUGAUUCAUUGCACAUCCCGGUACACCGCCGGAGGCAUUCACAUAGAGUCAUAUUUUGUUCUAAGUAUCGAGUUGUAAAUUCUUGAGUUGUAAGUAAAUAAAGUGUGAUGAUCUUCAUUAUUAGGCAUUGUCCCAGUGAGGAAAGGAUGAAGGAGACCAUGAUUCCCCCACAAGUCGGGAUGAGACUCCAGACGAAAAAUAAAAAAAGAAAAGAAAAAAAGAGGCCAUAAAAAAAGGCCCAAAUAAAAAAAGAGAAAAAGAGAGAAGGGGCAAUGCUACUAUCCUUUUACCACACUUGUGCUUCAAAGUAGCACCAUGAUCUUCAUGGUAAAGAGCCUCCUAUGUUGUCACUUUCAUAUACUAGUGGGAAUUUUUCAUUAUAAAACUUGGCUUGUAUAUUCCAAUGAUGGGCUUCCUCAAAUUGCCCUAGGUCUUCGUGAGCAAGCGAGUUGGAUGCACACCCACUUAGUUUCUUGUUGAGCUUUCAUACACUUAUAGCUCUAGUGCAUCCGUUGCAUGGCAAUCCCUACUCACUCACAUUGAUAUCUAUUGAUGGGCAUCUCCAUAGACCGUUGAUACGCCUAGUUGAUGUGAGACUAUCUUCUCCUUUUUGUCUUCUCCACAACCACCAUUCUAUUCCACCUAUAGUGCUAUGUCCAUGGCUCACGCUCAUAUAUUGCGUGAAGAUUGAAAAAGUUUGAGAACAUCAAAAGUAUGAAACAAUUGCUUGGCUUGUCAUCGGGGUUGUGCAUGAUUUAAAUAUUUUGUCUGAUGAAGAUGGAGCAUAGCCAGACUAUAUGAUUUUGUACGGAUAGCUUUCUUUGGCCAUGCUAUUUUGAGAAGACAUGAUUGCUUUAUUAGUAUACUUGAAGUAUUAUUGUUUUUAUGUCAAUAUUAAACCUUUGUUUUGAAUCAUUCGGAUCUGAACAUUCAUGCCACAAUAAAGAAAAUUGCAUUGAUAAAUAUGUUAGGUAGCAUUCCACAUCCAAAAUUCUGUUUUUAUCAUUUACCUACUCGAGGACGAGCAUGAAUUAAGCUUGGGGAUGCUUGAUACGUCUCCAACGUAUCUAUAAUUUUUGAUUGUUCCAUGCUAUUAUAUUAUCUGUUUUGGAUGUUUAAUGGACUUUAAUACGCUCUUCUAUAUUAUUUUUGGGACUAACCUAUUAACUGGAGGCCUAGUGCCAGUUUCUGUUUUUUGCCUAUUUUAGAGUUUCGCAGAAAAGGAAUACCAAACGGAGUCCAAACGGAAUGAAACCUUCGGGAGGAUCUUUCUUGGACCGAAAGCAAACUAGAAGACUUGAAGAUGAAGUCGGAGACGCAAAGAGGCGGCCACGAGGCAGGAGGGCGCGCCCCCCACCCUCGUGGGCUCCUCGUAGCUCCACCGACGUACUUCUUUCGCCUAUAUAUACUCUUAUACCCUAGAUCGAUCAAAGAGAGCCACGAAACCACUUUUCCACCGCCACAACCUUCUGUACCCGUGAGAUCCCAUCUUGGGGCCUUUUCCGACGAUCUGCCGGAGGGGGAAUCGAUCACGGAGGGCUUCUACAUCAACACCGUAGCCUCUGUGAUGAAGCGUGAGUAGUUUACCACACACCUUUGGGUCCAUAGUUAUUAGCUAGAUGGCUUCUUCUCUCUCUUUGAUUCUCAAUACAAAGUUCUCCUCGAUGUUCUUGGAGAUCUAUUCGAUGUAAUACUCCUUUGCGGUGUGUUUGCCGAGAUUCGAUAAAUUGUGGAUUUAUGAACUUGAUUAUCUAUGAAUAUUAUUUGGUUCUUCUCUGAAUUCUUAUAUACAUGAUUUGAUAUCUUUGCAAGUCUCUUCGAAUUAUCGGUUUAGUUUCGCCUACUAGGUUGAUCUUUCUUACAAUGGGAGAAGUGCUUAGCUUUGGGUUCAAUCUUGUGGUGUCCUUUCCCAGUGACAGUAGGGGCAGCAAGGCAUGUAUUGUAUUGUUGCCAUCGAGGAUAAAAAAUGGGGUUUAUAUCAUAUUGCUUGAGUUUAUCCCUCUACAUCAUGUCAUCUUGCUUAAAGCGUUACUCUGUUCUUAUGAACUUAAUACUCUAGAUGCAUGCUGGAUAGCGGUCGAUGUGUGGAGUAAUAGUAGUAGAUGCAGAAUCGUUUCGAUCUACUUGACACGAACGUGAUGCCUAUAUUCAUGAUCAUUGCCUUAGAUAUCUUCAUAACUAUGCGCUUUUCUAUCAAUUGCUCGGGAGUAAUUUAUUCACCCACCGUAAUACAUGCUAUCUUGAGAGAAGCCACUAGUGAAACCUAUGGCCCCCGGGUCUCUUUCUUAUUAGGGUUUUUUACAUCUGUGCCCCUGGUUCCUUAGCUCUACUCAUUCAUCCCCGCGCUCUUAACUUUUGCUCAAUUUUCCCCACUCCCUUGCCAGAAACCCUCAUAACUAGGCACAACGGACGUUGCCGUCGGGUCAAAGGCUUGACCGUUAACUCUGACUAGUGGGGCCAUGCUGGACUGUGUCGUCUGUUCGAGCUGACAAGUGGGGCCGCGUUGGGUGGUUUCGCUGUUGGACCGUUGGGCCAUGGUUUCAUUGGGUCGUCCCUUGCAUUAAACGUCUGCGCGCGCCGCCAGGACAGAAGCCUGCUAUGCAUGCACCCAGCAAAUCCUGCCUGCAUGCGUCGAUCGAGCCUGCAUGCGCCGAUGCCACGAUCCCACGAUGCGCCGACCGAGCCUGCAUGCGCCGAUGCGUCCGCCACGAUGCACUGACCGAGCAGCUUUCUUGGACGCCAGCCGCCACGGAUGCAGCAACGGUCACUGCUGCUGGUUCCUCUCUUCUAGCUAGGUGGCUACAUAUUUGUGGCUUGUGUAAAAAAAGAGCCACUCCCUUGCUUAGUUGUACUCAUUCAUCCCUACUAACAAAGCUUGCUUGCAUGCACUAGGUGGUUACUAACAAGCCGAGCUCUUUAAGAAAAUAAUCAACAAAUAUGUAGUCCCAAUAUGUAGAUAGGGCCAACAAUCCCAUAGCACGAUCACAUAGCUCAAACUAGGAAGAGCUUAAUAAUAGAAUAGAUAGAAAACUUAAUAAUAGAAUUUAAGAAAAGGGCCAACAAGCCCAAAAUAACUCCAACAUAGUUCAAUUACAACUUAACAUAAAAUACACUAAAAAAAGAUAGAGGGUUUAGAACCCUAGCCGCCGCCUUCUCCACCUUGCUCCUCCUCCGGGCACCCUUUUCACUGCUCCUCCGGGGCGUUGUCGAUGGGGUACGAAAGAGUGUGCAUGUGCGUCGCGGUGGGGAAGAUGUUGUUGUACUCCGUGUGGUUGGUGAAAGCGAUGAACUCGGAGCCACACCAAAACACCCGGCCGAGGAGGUAGAAGGCGUCGAAUGUGUUGGUGAAGUGGGCAAGGAGAGCAACCACCACCCGGUUUUGGAUGACCUCCUCGACGCGGAACAUCGUUGGAGAUCCCCUCGGGAGGUGGUGGUAGCCGGACGCGAGGAAGAACUCGGUGAAGUUCCUUGCGGUCCGCAGCCUUGAUAUCGCCCACAAACGUAGUGAACGUACACGCCGGUAGGGUAGAGCCUCUCCGGCACAGUGGGUGGGAAGCGGUAGGUUGGUCCAGUGUACUGCAUGGCUGAGGGAUGUGCAGAAGACGGAGAAGGGGUCGAAGAGCAAGAAGGGCAGAUGGAUGAGGGAUGGCAGAGGUACAGGGUGGCUUAAAUAGCCGUACUGCUACGUGUUAUUUGGCUGUGGCAAUAACGGGGUCAAAUGUGAAGUAACCCGUCUUCAAACCCACCGCAACAUCGGGAGUGUACACGCGUGGGAAACGGUGGUUUGAAAAAGAAGAAGAAGAAGAAGAAAAAGAAGCUAAUUGCACGUGUGGGAAUCCGUGGUCAUAUAUAUAUAUAUAUAUUAUAUGAACAAAAAGAGACAAUUUUUGAAUAGUUUGUGGCCAUUUUGCAUGAUAAAGAUAAAUUUGGCCCUUAAAAUUGGUCAUUUGCUACGCAAUGUCAAUUGAUUUCAAACGAUGCAAAAAUACAGAGCCAGCACGUUCACAAAAAACAGAGCAAACGAUGCAAAAAACGAUGCAAAAAUACAGAGCCAGCACGUUCACAAAAAAUAGAGCAAACGAUGCAAAAAAAACGACGCAAUUCGACGGCCCAACCAGAGUUUGGUUUCCUUUUGGGCCCAAUAACUUUUUUCACAGAGUCAGUGGUGGGCGAGCAGCCGAGCACAACGAAUAGGAUCGCCUCUCGCGGAUCGCCCCACGAUCCAACGAUGCAGAGCCGUCCUUGUGAUCCAACGACGCGGAGCCUGCACACAGCCAGCCCACCUAGUUCUUUCUAGAAGGCCAGAUCUGAGGGCUGUCGCUUGGCACGCGGACGGCUGACGUUGGGAGCUAGGGUUAGGCGAAAUCCCGCGGGGUUUAGAGGGGUUUUGAGCUGGUCCACGGGGUUUUGAAGGCUUUGACUGAGCAUAACUAAUUUAAAAAAACGAAAAAAAUAUGAAACCUUCGCCGUGCAUCGUUUUAUAAGACACACUGACGAGGAAAAAUACUAAACUUGGUCUAUGGUCAUUUUCAUGAAAAAACCGUAGUUGGCACGAUCAAGGUCAAAUGAGCACCGUUAAUUUAAAAAAAUCAAAAAAAAUAUAAAACAUGCGCACAAUGUUGCCUUAUGUGACAUGUUACCAACCAAAAAUACUAAACUUGGUCUAUGGUCAUUUUCAUGAGAAAACCUUCACAAAUAUGAGCUAUCACCUACAUGAUUUCACAGAGUUCAAGGAGAGGAGGUGGUGUUACCUUUUGUUUUUUGAAAAAUCACUAAACCUUUAUUUUAAAGUGAAUAAGAAGGAUCUGAAGUUAUUUUUCCAUUUUCAUAUUUCAAAACUUGGCCUAUAGUUUUUAUAUUAAUGUUGUCUUAUGUGACAUGUUACCGACCAAAAAUCAUAAACUUGUCCUAUGGUCAUUUUCAUGAGAAAACCUUCACACAUAUGAGCUAUCACCUACAAGAUUUCAAAAAAUAUGAAGAUUAAUUCAAUAGGUGUUAAUAAAAAACAUUUGGCUCAUUUAGAGUAGGUCCAAAAAAACUUUAUUACAAAUGGGUUGUUUACCCUAGCCUGGGAGCUUAUUUGGAGCACAUUUCUCAAAUUCAAAUUUCUUUGACCUCCUCUAAAUCACCUCAAAUUUUGCACACAUGAUCUCCUACACAAACAUAGAUAGUUGAUAAUACAUCUUCAUUAAAAUGUUGUUUUUUGCUCUGUUAUUGGAAUAUUUGAUAAAAGGGAACCCUUGAUAAAAUGAUGGACUGCAGCAUAUGUGUGAUCAUUGCAGCACCUGAACUUUCAAAACACUGAAACAAAUCAUAGCAGAUAAAUUUAAAAACACAAAAAUACCCAACAUAGAUAGCCACAUGCUUAUAAAAUUCAUCCAACCACCAAAAGGUAACCCACAUCCUCUUCACAAACAUAGUUCACCCACAUAGUUCAGCAAACAACCUAAAGUACUUAAAACACAUCAUAACAUCAGGGAAGGGGAGACAGGACUUUGGCUAGGGCAGCAUGCUGCCCCAUGAUCUUGUAGUCCUCGCCAUGGAUGGCCACAUCUUCUGCAUGAUCUAGAAGGUGAACGAAGCGGCUGGACUUUGGCUUUGGCUUGGUGGUGCAGUAGGGGCAGCACCAAGUUUUGGUCUUGCUCUUGUAGUAGUAGUCCAUGCCCUUGAUCCUGAUCUUCUCCUCUUCCUUCUCUUUGAAGGAGGCGAAGUUGCCGCGGUCCACAUCCACAUCUUCCCCAGAUACAUACUGCACACACGAAUGAAUUACAUUAGUACAUUAUAGAUUCAUGGGAAUACACCAUGUCAAACGAACUAAAUGAACAAUCUAAAUUUCAAGUAGGCUUACCUCAUACUCUUCGUCGUCACCAUACGCUGGAUCCUACGGGUCGUCGAAAUUAUAGUCUAUCUUCCUCCUCUUCCCCCUACCAUCAUCCUCCUGAAUAUACAAUUACAUCCAUCACUAGUCCUAUUUGCAUUUUCCAUUGUCAUGCACACACAUUGAACAACAGAGCUAAUAUAACUACAUAUUGUGGACAUAUUGUGAACAACAGAGCUAAUAUAACUUGAAUCAAAUAACUUGAGUAGCAUUAAAAAACCCAAUCUGUGAGCACUAAAAACAAAUCUAAUAAGCAUCAUAGCAUUAAAAACCCCAAUCUGUUCACAACAUCUAGCAUUUUCGCAACGAAUUUAUCCAAAUCUAAAAACCAAUCAUUGCAGCACCUAAAAUCAUAGUUCACAACAUCUAGCUAGCAUUUUUGCAACGAAUUUAUCCAAGAAACCCUAGUCCAAAAACCCCCACCCCCCCAACCCAUACAAAAAACCCCGGCCCAUCCGUCAAACCAACUACUCUAACCAUCUGAACUACUGUAUGAAUCACAAUCGAACUAACUCUACAAGCUAAGCAAGUGCAAAUACCUGCUCCUCCACGGCAGGCGGCGCAACGGGGGCAUCGGGAUGGACUGUGCCGCUCGACGCCAUCACCUUCUGCAGCGAUGAGGCGGAGCCCGCCACAUCCGCAGCGGUUGCGAGUUUCCCCGCACCGCCAUGGACGCCGCCGACAUCCGCGGUCACCGCGCCCUGACCCUGCAGCUCCACCACAUCUCCGGCCGCUGCGCCGGCGUCGCCACGAGCGUCGGCCAUCUGACAGAUGGAGGCGAUGAAGGUGAGGAAGAGGAUGUGGUGGGGCAGAGCAAGACAGUGUGGUGGAGGCAGUGCAGGAGAGCAAGACGACGCCGGUGGGGGAGAGGAAGAUGAUGCGGCAGCGAGGGGAUUUGGGGGAAAAUGGUAGGGGCGAUGGAGGUGGUUGCCCUCUUUACAUGAUGGGACGUUUCGGGCAUGUCCAUGGACACGUGCUACCCCACGACCACGGUCUUGCAUGCGCCCACGUAUACGCGGCCCCACUCGUCAGCUAACGGUCAAAGCAAUUGACCCGACGGCAACGUCCGUUAUAACCAGUUAUGAGGGUUUCGGGCAAGGGAGUGGGGAAAAGUGAGCAAACGUUAACAGAGUGGGGAUGAAUGAGUAGAGCUAAGGAACCAGGGGCACAGAAAUAAAAAUCCCUUCUUAUUAUAUUGCAUCUCUUUUAUUUACAUCGCAUCUCGUUUACUAUUUUGCAAUCUUUACUUUACAAUCUAUACAACAAAAAUACCAAAAAUAUUUACUUUACUAUCUUUAUUAGAUCUCACUUUUGCGAGUGACCAUGAAGGGAUUGACAACCCCUUUAUCGCGUUGGUUGCAACGUUCUUGAUUGUUUGUGCAGGUACUAGGUGACUUGUGUAUUGUCUCCUACUGGAUUGAUACCUUGGUUCUCAAAAACUGAGGAAAAUACUUACGUUACUUUGCUGCAUCACCCUUUCCUUUUCAAGGGAAAACCAACGCAUGCUCAAGAGGUAGCAUGGCCACAAGCAUAGCAAGCAUCAUCAAAAAGGGACAUUUCAAAUGAAUCAACGGGAUCAUAGCAAUUAUCAUAGCAUUCAUCCUUCGGUAAGAGCGAAGGAACAUUAAAAAAUGUAUGAGUUGGAGGGGUACUCUUAUUAGAAGGUGGGCACGGGUGAUCAAUUCGUUCUUCCUUCGCUUAUUCUUCGCUCUCCUCAUCAUCUUUUUCAUCCAAUGAGCUCACAGUUUCAUCAAUUCCUUCUUCCAUAGACUCCUGCAAAAUAUUAGUCUCUUCUUGGAUAGCGAAGACUUUCUCAAUAAACACAUCAAUAUCGUAAUUGCAUUUAUAAUUAUCAUAGCAAUAUUUAAGGAUAGCAAAAAUUUCAGGUCUAUAAACUUAAUCAUCAAAAUCUUCAAACUUUUCAAACAAAGAUUCAAUUUCAUAAGCACCCUUAAAAGCAACAACUUCUUCUAUUCGUUCCACAUCAUAAUAAUCAUAUAUACCAUUAUCAUAAGAAGCCAAGGUUUCAUUAUCAUUAAAUUCACAUGAAAAGGGAAGAUGUGGAGCAUUCAUCCUAGAGCAACAAGUAAAAUCAUAUCUCUGACAUAAAUUCCAAGCAUACCAAUGCAACGAAUAAAUUUGAUCCCAUAAAAGUUUCCCUUUUUGUGUCAACCGAUAAUCCCUAAAGUAUUCACGUUGAUCCAACAUUACUCCCAUUAUCAUGUUGAAUGGGGUUUUCUCAGGAUUAUCAAAGUAGUGCAUAAUAUCUUUUACAUAACGAGCAUCGAGGGUUUUAGGAGGUUACCCAUCUCCAUGAGUAGCAAGUACCACUAAUUUCUUUGGUGUUUCGUGUUCGAUAUCCAUAACUAAAGAUAGAGAACAACUUAGAACAAUAAAUAAAAACUACUUAGUGAUAAAGCAAACAAGCACACACGAGAAUAUUCACCCCACGCUAUUCCUCCCCGGCAACGGCGCCAGAAAAAGGUCUUGAUAACUCACAAGUAUAGGGGAUCGUUUGUAGCCUUCUUCAAUAAAUAAGAGUGUCGAGCCCAACGAGGAGCUAAAGGCAGAACAAACAUUCCCUCAAGUUCUAUCGACCACCGAUACAACUCUAUGCACACUUGACGUUUGCUUUAUCGGAGACAAGUAUGAAACUAUUUUGUAGGUGUGAUGCUAGAACUAAUUUGCAAGAAUAAAAUGAGAAGUACUUGCAAGAUAAUAAAAUUUAGGUGUAUAGUAAAAAGGUUUGUGUCAACAAGAAAGUUAUUUGUCCCUAGGCAAUCAAUAACAAGUACUGGUAAUCAUUCUUGCAACUUUAUAUGAGGGAGAGGCAUGAGCUAACAUACUUUCUCUACUUGGAUCAUAUGCACUUAUGAUUGGAACUCUAGCAAGCAUCCGCAACCACUAAAGAUCAUUAAGGUCGUGAAACCCAACCAUAGCAUUAAGUAUCAAGUCCUCUUUAUUCCCAUACGUCAUACCCCACCUACUCGGGUUUAAGUUUCUGUCACUCUCGCAACCCACCGUAAGUGAACCAUGAACAUAUUGCAACACCCUACAGCGGAGGCCCCUCACGUUUGCGUGAGAACGGAGGGCACGGUAGGACAGCACCAUAAAUAAAUUAUACAAUCAUACCAACCAAGAUCACGAUUAACCCAUAGGACAAAACGGAUCUACUCAAACAUCAUAGGAUAACCAUAGAUCAUUGGGAAAUAAUAUAUGGAGUUGAGCACCAUGUUUAAGUAGAGAUUACAGUGGGGAGAAGAGGUGUUACACCGCUGCAUAGAGGGGGAGAGAGUUGGCGUUGACGGUAGCAAGAUUGUUGAUGUAGAUCGCCGUCCCGAUCGUUGCCCCGGUGGCACUCCGGCGCCACCGGAAGCGAGGGGGAGAGAGCCCCCCUACUCCUCCUUCAUCCUUGGCCUCCCCCUAGAUGGGGAGGAGAGUUCCCCCUAUGGUCCUUGGUCUCCAUGGCCGCGGAGGGGUGGGAGCCCCUCCGAGAUUGGACCUCCCUCUCUGUUCUCUUCUGUUUCGCGUUUUUAGAUCUGGCCGAAAACCGUUUCUUACAUUCCCGGAGAUCCGUAACUCCGAUUGCGCUGAAAUUUUAACAUGAUUUUUCUCCGGAUAUAAGCUUCCUUGCGCCCGAAGUAGAGUCCAACCAACGUACAGGGUGAGCACAACGCACCACCGCACGCCUGGCUCCUCUGGCGCGUCCUGGUGGGUUGUGCCCUCCAAGGGCCUCCGUUUGCGGUGAUUCCAACUCCCAAAAAUCACAUAUAUUCCAAAAUAAUUCUCCGUGAAAUUUUAUUGCAUUUGUACUUCAUUUGAUACGGAUACUCUGCGAUACAAAAAACAUGUAGAAAACAGGAAUUGGCACUGGGCACUAGAUCAAUAGGUUAGUCCAAUAAAUCAUAUAAAAAGUUGCCAAAAUUAUGUAAAAAUUGUAUAAUAUUGGCAUGAAACAAUCAAAAAUUAUAGAUACGACGAAGACGUAUCAGACAUCUAGUGAAUUUUGCCAUGCAAAUUCACCAAAAAAAUUGCCAUGGUAAGAAAAGUUUGACAUCGUCUUGAAAGAAGGAAGUUGCCAUGGCAAGAAAAGUUUGACAUCGGCUUGGAAAAAGGAACUUGCCAUGGGCAUGUAAGUGAAUUUGCCGUGGAACAUCUACUGAUGAAGUUUGAAAUCGUCUUGAAAAAAGAAGUUGCCAUGGCAAGAAAAAGUUUGACAUCGGCUUGAAAAAAGAAACUUGCCAUGGGCAUGUAAGUGAAUUNNNNNNNNNNNNNNNNNNNNNNNNNNNNNNNNNNNNNNNNNNNNNNNNNNNNNNNNNNNNNNNNNNNNNNNNNNNNNNNNNNNNNNNNNNNNNNNNNNNNNNNNNNNNNNNNNNNNNNNNNNNNNNNNNNNNNNNNNNNNNNNNNNNNNNNNNNNNNNNNNNNNNNNNNNNNNNNNNNNNNNNNNNNNNNNNNNNNNNNNNNNNNNNNNNNNNNNNCUUGAAAAGAGAAACUUGCCAUGGCAAGAAAAGUUUGACAUCGGCUUGAAAAAAACAAACUUGCCAUGGGCAUGUUAGUGAAUUUGUCGUGAGACAUCUAGUAAAUUUUGCCAUGCAAAUUCACAAAAAAAAUUGCCAUGGGCAUGUUAGUGAAUUUGUCGUGAGACAUCUAGUAAAUUUUGCCAUGCAAAUUCACAAAAAAAAAUUGCCAUGGUAAGAAAAGUUUGACAUCGUCUUGAAACAAGAAAGUUGCCAUGGCAAGAAAAGUUUGACAUCAGCUUGAAAAAAGAAACUUGCCAUGGGGAUGUAAGUGAAUUUGCCGUGGAACAUCUAGUGAUGAAGUUUGAAAUCGUCUUGAAAAAAGAAGUUGCGAUGGCAAGAAAAAGUUUGACAUCGGCUUGAAAAGAAAAACUUGCCAUGGCAAGAAAAGUUUGGCAUCGGCUUGAAAAAACAAACUUGCCAUGGGCAUGUUUGUGAAUUUGUCGUGGGAGGUCUAGUGAAUUUGCCAUGGCGAAUUCACUGAAAAAAAAUUGCCAUGGUAAGAAAAGUUUGACAUUGUCCUGUAAAAUUGCCAUGAUGAUCUACUAAAAAUUCGCCAUUGUCUUGGAAAUUAAAGUAAAUUUGACAUGCAAAUACUCCCUCCUUCCAUCUAUAUAGGUCCAAAUGCGUUUUUCGAGGCUAACUUUGACCAAGUGUUAGAGCAAUAAUAUAUGACAUGCAAGUUACACAAAGCAUACCGUCAAAUUCGUACGUGAAAGGAGCUUCCAAUGGUAUAAUUUUCACAUUAUACAUCUCAUGUAUUAUUAAUCUUAUCAAUAGUCAAAAGCGGUCUUGAAAAACACAUUAGACCCUAUAUAGAUGGAAAGAGGGAGUACAUGAAACUAUAAUUUACCAUGGUGUAUAAACUAAAUUUGUAGUUGUCAAUUACUAAAUUUACCAUGAUCAAAAUGAAAAUAAAAUUGCCAUGCUUAAUUAACGAGAAAAUAACAUUUGCCAUGAUUUGUUAACUAAAUUUGCCUUGGUUAAAAUACUAAAAUAACCAUGAUCAAUGAAAUAAAUUUGCCAAGGUUAAUAAAAAUGAAAUUUACCAACUUUAUCAGUAGUAGCGUCGAUUUACAAAGGAACAAAGUGCGAACAAAAUUACUUAGAUGAGUUUCAGAGUCAUGCAUAGCCAUCAAUUAUACCAUGAACCCACACAAACAUUAGUUGACGAAACAUAUUGCAUCUAGAAUCCUGCGACACUAGCAAUAACAAAUGAAAAAUCUUCUGUUGGUACCUGUCGCAGUCUAUGGUGCCCUUGGCAUUGAACCUGACCCCCAGCGCAAGAUCCUGCUACCAACCAAGCCCAUCAGACCCCAGCGCAAGAUACUGCUCACCGCAUAUCAGACCCCCGCACACGAGAGCAGCAGACCAGCCGGCCGCGCACAAGCUGCUCGACGAAUUGCACCCAGGAGAGGAGGGCGGGCCUGGUAGAGGCGGGCGAAGAUGGUAUCCUGGUGGAGGAGGCGACACUCGGUCGAUUGGGUGCACGACACGGCCGUCUCGAGCUCCCUGGUGGCGCAACGACUUGCUUGCACAGAAGAUGAUGCAAGACUGCGCGCGCAGUGCGCCUCCACGCGCUCGAGCCAGGCGCCGCGUGCUCGGCUCCCUCGUCGUCGCCACCGCCGCCGCCGACCUUGAGGAGGAUCAUUGGAGAGUGAGAGGGGGACGGGGUAUGGCAAAGGUUGCUGGCCACCAGCGUCCAUGGCCUCCACCCGCAAAAAUCCGGAGCUCCCUCAUCGAUGGACGGAGGCGGGGAACGGCAGGGCAAGUGGAAGCGGGCUGCGGGGGCCGCCGGAACUGGCCAUAGAGGGUGUGGCGGGCCUGGCCACAGUUGAGCUCGAGCUCGAGGUGAGCCCGCGAGAUCCCAUGGAGGGAGAUUCACUCUUCGCCGACGAGAGGACGCCGCCGGGGAGGACUCCAUCGCGCCCCCCCCCCCCUCCCCCCCACAUCNNNNNNNNNNNNNNNNNNNNNNNNNNNNNNNNNNNNNNNNNNNNNNNNNNNNNNNNNNNNNNNNNNNNNNNNNNNNNNNNNNNNNNNNNNNNNNNNNNNNNNNNNNNNNNNNNNNNNNNNNNNNNNNNNNNNNNNNNNNNNNNNNNNNNNNNNNNNNNNNNNNNNNNNNNNNNNNNNNNNNNNNNNNNNNNNNNNNNNNNNNNNNNNNNNNNNNNNNNNNNNNNNNNNNNNNNNNNGCAGCGCACGCACGAGCCGCUGGGAUGACGUGGCCAGCCGGGAGCGUCAAGAUGUGUGUGUUUCGAUCCAAUGGCAAUGAGCACCUUCGGAACGAGAAGCUAAAACGUGGCACUUUCGGGAUUUAUUGAUUCCGUUCUGAAUUGCCAGCCUCAUAUAAACCUAUGUGAAACUCUCUGUACAUACUCAGGAGCGAUCUUCUACAGCCGUUGGAUGCACCCAUCAGAGGGGUUCCUGGCCGUUAAUCACGCUCUAGCUCAGAGGUGAGAAUGCCAUCAACCAGACUGAAGUGCUUGCCUCCUUAUCGGUAAAGGAUGCAGCGGUACCAGCCUAUAGAACAGAUCUUGUUCAUGUAAGAGCAACUCCAAUGGGAAUACCCAUUUCGUCCACCGCCGUCCGUUUGGGCUAGCGCGGACAAGAACGACGGCCCAAUGCAGAAACCCAUUUUUAUUUUGUGUCCGCACGGACCCAUUUCCGCCUCAAAUUUGAGACACAUUUGGUCUGAAGCGGACACAAAGCGGACGCUUUCUGCGUCUCUCUCGUCCGCCUCCGCCCGAUGCCGGUCCUGCGUGCCCCACCUGCCAUCCACUCACAUAAUAUUUUUUCUCUCUCCCCUCUCUCUCGCGCUAGCCAUGACACAGGUGCUGCCACGCCGCCGCGCUCGCCCUGCUCGGACGCCGCCGUGCUGCCACGCUCGCCCUGCCGGGGGCAAUACAAGCAUCCACGCGAGCUAGCUAGCUUAGUUGCAUGGAUGCCGGCCUUUGCAUGGCGCCCCAUCCUAGCUAUCUAGCUAGCUUCGAUGCAUUGUCGACGCCGGCUCGUGGCGGCGCUCGAGCCACUCGCAUGCCAUUCUGCACUUCCGCCAUGGCUCGGAAGCUCGCUUGCAUGCCUCGGCCACGUCGCCGCUCGCGUCUGACCCGGCCUCGCCUUGCCACGCAGCCUCACGAGCUUGCCAUGGCCUCGUCCCGCCACGCAGAGCGGCCGCCUCUGUCGCUCACGCGCUCGUUCCGGCCUCACCCCACACGCAGCAGGAGCAACAGCUCGCGUGCCCGACCCGGCCUCGCCCCGCCCCGCAGCAGGACGAGCUCGCCAUGGCUCGGGAGCGAACGCGCCCGGCAUGGCCGCGCCCCACCACGCAGUAGGAGCUCGCACGCCCGGCACGGCCGCGCCCCGCCGCGCAGCAGGAGCGCGCAGGCCGGGGCAGAGCAGCGGCGAGCUGCGGCGCGGAGGGGCCUAGCUAGCGCGGCGGCCACGAGCUGUGGUGGGCGGGGCGCGAUCUGUGGCGGGCGGAGCGAGCUAGCGAGGCGGCUGCGGCCGUCGCUGGGCCGGGACGAGCCGCGGCGGGCACGGCGAGUGUCGGGCCCGGGGCCAGGGUGAGCGGGCGCCGGGGAUACGCAGGGCGCAUGAGAGCUGCAGCACGGGAGCCGGGCGGGGCGACGCGGGAGCUCGUUCAUCAGGUGUUCGACUAAAUCCUGACGCGGACAUGCACAAAAUGCGUCUGCCCUACGUUGGGCGUAUAGACAGACCGACCUAAACGAAAAAACGGACACGGAUGGGCCACCCAAACAGACAAAAAAGACAAAAACGAUGUCCAUUUGGAUCGACCCAUUCUAAACUGGUUUUGGCGUCGCCUGAACCAGCGAGAUGGGACUAAUCGCAGCGGCAUGCAGCAGCGCUGCGCUUCCUCUGUCAGCUUUGGAAUGAGGGGCACGGCCCGUGACCCGUGUAUGUGCGCACAUUGCUCAAAGAAAAAGUAGCUCAGCCCAUCUGAAAAAUAUUUGCCUCUCGCGCUUUCCACUCGUUCUCUGUUCCUUCCUGUCGCAAUCAAACGUGGAAGUACUUCUUUGUUAAACAACCAGUGGUACUUCAAAACUGGCCCAAGUGAAGGUGGUUUGGAGAAAUUGAUACCUCCAGCCACUUGUUUUUAUCUCCAUUAUGAACUGUUUUUUUCUAGACAACUUUAUCAUUACUCGAUCAAUUCCUUUCUACAGAACUUUAUCAUUACUCGAUCAAUUCCAUUUUUAAAAAUGCUAGUAGAUCAAAAUAGGAUGCAGCAACAACCAGAAACUAUUCACAACUGAAAGAGGCCACAAAAUAAAUUUAGCUGAGCUUGAUUUUCCAACAGAAGCGAGUACGGCUGAAAGAGGCAAACACAGAGGUAUAGAUAAAACUGCAUCAUCUAUUCUUCACAUAAAGUUCCGAUGCGAAUCCAUCCGGCUAUAUAAUAACAAAACGAAAAAACAUCAGAAGGAAGUAACAGCAGCAGCAAAGAGAGUUCUCUACAACUCGGCCAACAGACUAAUAACAGCAAGUCUCCGGUGUCUGCGAAUAAACCCGACCACCCCCAACCCCAACACAAAGUAAGUAGCACCAAUUAUCCAUGUCUCCUCUCCCUACUAACCCAUUACAAAAAUUGGUUCCCCUUUAAACCCAUCUAC
rnacentral:lncRNA from 1 species